rnacentral:rRNA from 1 species
GUGCCAGCCGCCGCGGUAAUACGGAGGAUGCAAGCGUUAUCCGGAUUCAUUGGGUUUAAAGGGUGCGCAGGCGGAUUGGUAAGUCAGGGGUGAAAUCCCACAGCUCAACUGUGGAACUGCCUUUGAUACUGUCAGUCUAGAGUAUAGUUGAAGUUGGCGGAAUGUGUCAUGUAGCGGUGAAAUGCUUAGAUAUGACACAGAACACCGAUCGCGAAGGCAGCUAGCUAAGCUAUAACUGACGCUCAUGCACGAAAGCGUGGGGAUCAAACAGG